AGCUUUAAUGCACAGAGCAGAUUACGCAAGCAGAUGUUUUAUGAUGCCGUCCCAGUGUUCUCGGUAAAGCUUUGCUUUGAUUUUUUUAAAGAGCAUAGUGUUUUAUGUUCGAGGAACGCUGCUCUGAAACGUUUACAGGAUGGUUUCCAUGUGUUUUUGCCCAACCUGAGCAGAUCUCAGUGUUUGACAUUAACUGCGAUUGUUGCUCUUUGAAAUACAUUUUUUUAACGAUGUUUUAAGAAUCUGUGGUGUCCUUUGCUUAGAUUGAGCUGCCAUUGUGAGCUCAGCUUUAAUAGCGACGUUCAGAUUUACUGCCACUGAGGCCUUGACUGAAAAAGCACAUAUGCCAAGUCCUUUGCUUGAAUUCAGCGACUGAAUAUGAAUGUCCUCUGAUUCCUAGUCACAUGAAACAGUGUCUUGAGGUGAUGUCAACGUCCCGCUGUUCUCUCGCAGAUAGUCCUCUCGUGAUCUACCUCAGUGAACAUGAUUCUGGAAAUAUCAGCGGAUCAGAGAAGGCAAUCACUGUAAACUCACUUGAAACGAUGGCCACCAAGUUCUCAUACUUCAUACCUAUCCCAUGUUGUGUUCCUUUAGUUUUAUAUCUCUUAUAUCAACUAGCAUUAUUAGUGCCUUGACGACAUGAUUAUUGACAGAUGAAUUAUUGAUUUGUAUGGAAUCUUAACCAGUGGCACAACCAACAGCUUCCAAAGCAAGUAUUCGACUGAUUUCAGUGCGAUUCACAGGAAAGGCAGCCUCAGCAGCAGUACGUGGCGAGAGGCAUCUGUCUGUUAAAUCUGUGGGUUUAUUAUUUUUGAAUCAUUUCCAUGUUUCAGAUUGUCUCUUUUUACUUUUGUACAUGGUCCUUUUAUUGUAUUUUUUUUUUCUUUAAUUUAUACUGUUCAUGUAAAUCAUUGUUGUACACCAAACCAGAGAAGGUUUUGCUGCACACACACACACACACACACACACACACACACACACACACACACACACACACACACACACACACACACACACACACACACACACACACACACACACACACACACACACACACACACACAUGUUUACUUAGCUAUCUAAAUGGGGACAUCCCAUAGGCGUAAUGGUUUUUAUACUGUACAAACUGUAUAUCCUUCACCAAUCCUACAACUACAUGUAAACCUACCCCUCAAAAAAAGCUUUAAUUAAUUUUUAUACCACUUUUACAAAUGAGGGUGUCCCCAAAGGGAGGUUUUUUGAGAUUUUGUCAGGUUUAGCUUACUUUUGGGUACAUAUUUGUCCCCAAAAUAUGGUUAAGUAGGCGCACACACGCUCUCUGUGAUAUAACCGUGGGUUGUUUUGACGGUCAGCACACAGCCGUGAUUUACUCAGGGUAAUCAUACAUGUCAAACAACUCCAGGCCUCAGCUAAACACCAAAUUAAUGACUUGCGUUCUUGAAGAAUUUAUUGAAAACUUUUUGUCCAUCCAUUUGUGAUUGUAAAAUUAAAAAACGAAAUUUUCUUAAUAAAAAUUAACAACACUUUAACACUUUAUUUUAUAGAUUGUGCACACACUUACCGUGUACUUGCCAGAAGUUAGUUCCUGGUUAUAAUAAGAGUAAGUACACAGUAUGUAUAAGUAGAAAAGCGCUGUAAAAUUAAGUGCUUCUGAGAACAGACUAAUAACAAAAACAGAAUCACUUAGCAAUCGACACGCGUUAGUUUCAUAUCAGUGACCUUGAUCUCUUGACCUGCAUGACUUAUAGCUUCUGUUAUUUUCUGUUGUUGUUGUAUGUACCACACAGUUGGUUAUAAAUACAAUUUUGAACUACAAUAAAGAAAACAUUAUUGGUUGUAUUAAUGACAUUUUGUGUUAUUGGUUUUAAUAAUUAUUCAGAGGAACCACUUUAUCUCCUCUCAGGAGACUGUUCUUCAGAUUAAUAAAAUGUUGUUCACAAUGCUUAUUUCAAGAACCUUUUUCCACUUUUAACAACCUUCUGUCCAUUGGACAGCUUAAUAUAAAUACACUUAUAAGCACAAACACUUUUUAAAAAAAAAAAACUGAUUUUAAGUGUAGUCAGAUAAAAUACCAGAAGUGUUUUAUAAUUGCAUUGCUUAAAUCAACGAUCACUUUACAUACAAUUUCAGUGGAUUUUUAUAUAUACUAUUACAAAGUUCUAUUUGGAUUUUCAUGAAAAACAGUAGAAAUGUAUUACUUCAGUAAAACCCUGUAGGUUAUUGUACUCAGGCUGCUAUAAAUGCACAUGAUUGGAUUAUUAAAUCAUAUGUAUAACAGUGUGUAUUCCUUUAGCAUAAAGUACUUGAAGUGCUAUAUUUUAAAUGUGGAAAAAGUGCUACUAAUGACAAAGUAAUAGUGUACUUGAUUGUACUAUUUAAAGACACCAUAAACAUGUAGUUAAGUAUAACAUAUAAAGGGAUUGUUAAUUUAAUUACAUUUGAAAUUUAUUAUUUAAUCUAUAAAAAUAUGUGGGCAAUACAUUAUGAAUGCAUUUUUUCAUUACAUAUUAAUCUUCUAUUUAAAAUAAUUAACAAGUGUAUUUUCUAUGUAUGAUGAGUUUAUUUAAAAGUGUAUGUAAGAUGGUUUCAAGUGUACUACAAUGGUGACUAAAUACAUUUUUUAAUACAGAGAAAGUGUUAAAAGCACAUUUUUAGUCCCAUGUGGUGUCCAAGAAAUAGCAGAGUUGAGUACACUUAGAUCUUCUUAAGAUUAUCUCUAGAAGUACUAAAGAAUAAGUUUUAGUAUAUUAAGUACAAAAAUAGAGCACUUUAAGUACAUUAUAGAAGUGCAC
rnacentral:lncRNA from 1 species